CUGGAAUCCCAACCUGCAUAGACCUGCGGCAAACCUAAUGCUUGGGCUUGAGAUCUUCCAAUUUUGCUGUAGUAUUUGAAGACCAAAGGUACACCCCACGGAUUGAUCCGUGGGCUGGAUCAAGUGGCGCCCAGUGUGGGGGCUCCUGGCAUGGGGGAGUCAACGAAGGAGCCAUUGGAGAAAGCCAGCUAAAAGUGAAAGCAAAUUGAACCAAAGACCACGGCAAAAGGAAAAACAAACUAAAUCAAGGAUCAAAGCUAAAAGCAAAAGGACAUUAAAUCAAGGAUGAGGCCUGUGCAGAUGACUACCCAAUGUCCUGCCCGAGUCACGAUGACACAACUCCCCGGAGUCCUAUGCUGCCUACUCAGCCUUAUCCUUGAGCCACACCACACCCAUGGUGGAUUUAGACCCUUGCAAACAGACUACAACUGCUGACAGCCAUGCACACAACCCCCUGUGACUGCGGAGGAGGAUCUUCUCCGUCUGGAGGAACAUAAAUCAGCCAAAUAGACUGCGCCCGGUGUUAUGCGAGGCAAGCUCCAAGAAAUAGAAGAAGGACUUCAACAAGGACAACAAUAAAUGCUGCCAACCCCUUCUCCUCGAUGUGUGUGUGUGUGGGGGGGGGGGAGCUUUUCCCUUACCUAGCGCCCCUUUUGGGCCCCCUAGCUGCCCUACUGCUUCUCCUUUCUGUGAGUCCUUGUAUUUUUAGAGGAUUAUGAUGCUCAUUAAUAACCGGAUAGACGCGUUUAUGGCAAAGCCCAUUCAGGUACACUGUCAUCAGCUGGAGAUGGCAGAACAACAAACCUACCGGGAAGGAAUUCCCACAAAUGGCCCAUAUGAUGAUGCGGCCUAACUGCCCUGGGGCAAUGGACAGGCAGUCAAAGACGGGCAACUAGGACAUGCAUGCUAACUCCAUCCGCCGCCUAAGACAGGCACAGGACCAACUGCUGUCCUGCAACCCAUGACCGAUAAGGCCUGGUUGGGCUCAUGUAAUGAGGUCCUUGACCUAAGACAGAUGCUGUCCUCACAGGGCCUGCUAUACUCCUCAUUAAAUAAUAUAGAAAGGGAGGAGAUGUAGGGAGCCAUGUGACAGCCCCAUUGCUGCCUCCCUGCCUCACUCUCUCCUAUGGGCACAAUGCGUCUGCCUACAUUAACCAUAAUUCUCUCCUGCUUAUGUCACAUACCCGGAUGUGAUGAUGACCCUGUUGUAUUCAUCCCCGUAGCCUCUUCCUGUCCCACCAGCCUGCCCUUGGCCUACAAAAGAUGUAAUCACUUCCGGAGUAAA